AACACAAAAUGGAAGAAGUAAGAGCUGAAAUGAUAAUUAGAGCACAUAUAAUUUCUGCUCGGUGUUUUGGAGGGUUAACCACAUUGGAAAGAUCCAGACAGUUGGAAAUAGAUAUUCUCGUGGAAACUUUUUCUCGCAGACCUUGAUAAUCAGGCAAAAUGAUCCUGGAAGAGUAUAUGAUGUAUGAUAACAACGAGAGAACCCAACCACACCUUUUGAAUAUUACAC